ensembl:lncRNA
CUUCUAGGUAACGGGUGGCAUAAUCCAUAAUUACCAGGAUUUAACGCUGCCCCCUACUGGUAGGUAGGGAUCCUACAUUACAUGUCAUUUAGCUGACGCUUUCAUCCAAAGCGACUUACAAUAAGUGCAUUCAACCAUAGGGGUACAAACUCAGAAAAACAAGAAAGUGCAAUUUCCUCAAAUAAGCCAAUUUACAAUUUGCUAAAGAUGAGUGGCGUUACAAGUACAAUUUAAGUGCUACAAUUUGUAAGUCUUUUAGCCGAGGUAGAGUCUGAAGAGGUGUGUCUUUCGUUUGCGGCGAAAGAUGUGAAGGAUCCUACUAUAUCCAUGGCCACCUUCUAGAAGGGAAUGUCAAAUACAGGUAACGGAAUCAAGGGUUGUACCUUUUCGGAGUUGUCUUAUGGCAUUCCAGGCAUAUUUUGCAGUAAUCCUAUACUUCCCUCUUCACCCCUGGCCAGUAGAAGGAUUCUGUUGGAGGUCUUCUUUACCCCAAGAUGAGCUCUCAAAAGGUUUCCCCUCGACCACCAUCAGCCUCGGUGCACCAUCAGAGCCGGCCCCUUUAAAACACAUCAUC